rnacentral:rRNA from 1 species
AGUGAACGCUGGCGGUAGGCCUAACACAUGCAAGUCGAACGGCAGCACAGUAAGAGCUUGCUCUUACGGGUGGCGAGUGGCGGACGGGUGAGGAAUACAUCGGAAUCUACUUUUUCGUGGGGGAUAACGUAGGGAAACUUACGCUAAUACCGCAUACGACCUACGGGUGAAAGCAGGGGAUCUUCAGACCUUGCGCGAUUGAAUGAGCCGAUGUCGGAUUAGCUAGUUGGCGGGGUAAAGGCCCACCAAGGCGACGAUCCGUAGCUGGUCUGAGAGGAUGAUCAGCCACACUGGAACUGAGACACGGUCCAGACUCCUACGGGAGGCAGCAGUGGGGAAUAUUGGACAAUGGGCGAAAGCCUGAUCCAGCCAUACCGCGUGGGUGAAGAAGGCCUUCGGGUUGUAAAGCCCUUUUGUUGGGAAAGAAAAGCAGCAGGUUAAUACCCCGCUGUUCUGACGGUACCCAAAGAAUAAGCACCGGCUAACUUCGUG